rnacentral:rRNA from 1 species
CCUACGGGCGGCAGCAGUGAGGAAUAUUGGUCAAUGGGCGCGAGCCUGAACCAGCCAAGUAGCGUGAUGGAUGACUGCCUACGGGUUGUAAACUUCUUUUAUAAAGGAAUAAAGUGAGGCCCGUGUGCCUUUUUGUAUGUACUUUAUGAAUAAGGAUCGGCUAAAUCCGUGCCAGAAGCCGCGGUAAUACGGUGGAUCCGAACGUUUUCCGGAUUUAUUGGGUUUAAAGGGAGAGUAGAUGGGUUGUUAAGUCAGUUUUGAAAGUUUGCGGCUCAACCGUAAAAUUGCAAUUGAUACUGGCAGCCUUGAGUACAGUUGAGGUAGGCGGAAUUCGUGGUGUAGCGGUGAAAUGCUUAGAUAUAACGAAGAACUCCGAUUGCGAAGGCAGCCUACUAAACUGCCACUGACAUUGAUGCUCGAAAGUGUGGGUAUCAAACAGGAUUAGAUACCCUAGUAGUC